GACGUAGGGCGCAAGCGUUGUCCGGAAUUAUUGGGCGUAAAGAGCUCGUAGGCGGCUUGUUGCGUCUGCCGUGAAAUCUGAGGGCUUAACCCUCAGCUUGCGGUGGAUACGGGCAGGCUAGAGGCAGGCAGGGGAGAAUGGAAUUCCCGGUGUAGCGGUGAAAUGCGCAGAUAUCGGGAGGAACACCGGUGGCGAAGGCGGUUCUCUGGGCCUGUACUGACGCUGAGGAGCGAAAGCGUGGGGAGCGAACAGG
rnacentral:rRNA from 1 species